rnacentral:misc_RNA from 1 species
AUAAAAGGCCAGAGAUCUAAGUACAUAAACAGUUCAAGAUAAAAAAACAAAUAAAGCCAAUUAAGAUCAAAUCUCUGCCCAAAAGAUCCCAGCCCAUUACAUUGAAAACCCUAAUAGGGAGAGAUCCUAGACCCAGCAUCCAUACGGUGCAAGGGAUAUUAAGCCUACAACCAAACUGAGGUAACUCGACAAAACCAUAGCACACUGAUGGGAAGGUAGAAGACUAACUGAAGCACGUUGAGGGACCGUACACAACUGAAGGAGCCUAAAAGUAGGUCUAUUAACUGAUAGCAACCGAAGGAAAACGAGGACGACCGUUGGCAAACUGAAAACCAGAUAAGCGCUUCCAAGGAUUAUUGAUAGCCACAAGCAUCUACUUCAGUGUUCAAAGAGGAGAAGGAAUCAGAGCUCUCAUCUAAGUCGGUGAGCACCAAUGGGUGACGAUAAAACGAUAAAGACCCCGAGGUGACUUGUUCUCCAAACUCCCCACUCAAACAUUCACACCGUGAAGCAGAUUCAGCAACAACAAUUCACUGGACAAAUCCUGCAUGCAAAUGAUACCCAACAUAGAACAACGAAACUAAAAACCAAAGGAUCUAAAACACAAUAUCAAAGAAUCAGAUUUUAAAAGUGCUCUCUCUUUGCAUAUCUCCAUCUGCUCUAAAUCAAAAGAACCAAAGCAUAAGGGUGUG